ACCUAACCUAACCUAACCUAACCUAACCUAACCUAACCCUACUCAAUGUUUGUUUCUAAACCAAUCUUGAAGAAAAAAGUUUUGACGAAAUGUCACAAAGACUCACAGAUAUCGGUGAGUCAAAAAUGGGGGCCAUUAUUCUUACAUCUGUGUAUGAUUACGUGUUUAUAAACAUCUAACAUAUUACUAGAAGAAAAAAAACGUCGAGGGGCAUAGUAGCAUUAGCAUUGUGAAAAAUUG